rnacentral:rRNA from 1 species
GACGAACGCUGGCGGCGUGCUUAACACAUGCAAGUCGAACGGAAAGGCCCUGCUUGCAGGGUACUCGAGUGGCGAACGGGUGAGUAACACGUGGGUGAUCUGCCCUGCACUUCGGGAUAAGCCUGGGAAACUGGGUCUAAUACCGGAUAGGAGCCAUUUUUAGUGGGAUGGUUGGAAAGUUUUUUCGGGGUAGGAUGAGCUCGCGGCCUAUCAGCUUGUUGGUGGGGUAAUGGCCUACCAAGGCGGCGACGGGUAGCCGGCCUGGGAGGGUGGACGGCCACAUUGGGACUGAGAUGCGGCCCCGACUCCUACGGGAGGCAGAAGUGGGGAAUCUUGCACCAGGGGCGCCAGCCUGGUGCAGCGACGCCGCGGGGGGGAGGACGGCCUUCGGGUUGUAAACUCCUUUCGCUAGGGACGAAGCUUUUUGUGACGGUACCUAGAUAAGAAGCACCGGCUAACUACGUG